rnacentral:lncRNA from 1 species
CAUUUUGUUUGCUGUUGGGUUUCUUAAUCCCUUCGGGCCGAUGGAGGACUUGGUUGUCACCUCGGUGACAGCGGGAAAGCGCAAGAGGUUUGGCGCCCACACCCGACGCCGGAGACGAGCCUGAGCUGAUCCUGGCUGGCGAAGGCGGCACUGUUCCGACCCAAGGCCUCCCCCAGCCCUGCCUCCCUCCCCGCUGCCCGGCUGGGCGGGCGGAGGCCGCGCCCCUGAGCUCGGCCUCGCUGCCCGAGUGCCCGACCUGCCUCGGACAGCGUGCCGGAGCCGGCAGCCAGGGCCGGUCCGGAGCAGAGGUGCUUCACGUGGGGUCAGGUUCAGCCAUGUGACCCGGUGUGGAAACGUCCCCGUCCCCGCCUCGUAAGCGAGUCGGCAGCAUUGGGGAAACGGCGUGGGCCGGCAGAGAGCAGGUGGGACGGAGGGUGCGCAGGGCCUCCCGCGGGGCAGCCGCGGACGGUUGUCGGCGGGGCCAAUGGGAGGGGCGCGUCCAGAGGAAGCAGGUCAGGAGAGAGCAGCCGGGCGGCCGGCGGAGGCAGGACCCGAGCGAGCCCCUGUCUCCAAGUGAAAAGCAAAAUAGGGCUGGGGUGUGGCUCAGUGGUGAGUGCCCCCGAGUUCAAUCCCCGGUACCAAAAAGGAAAGAAAGAAAAGAAAAAGGGAGUUUACAGAGAGAAAAGAUGGGGAAUUAAGGCAGAGGGACUGGUGAGGUAACAGCAAUGGACCCCAGGAAUAUUAUGGUAGGUGCUUGCCAAGAAUGGUGCCCGUAUAGGAGUAGUGUGAUGAGGUUUUAGAGAUCGUACAGACAGAGCCUAAAGGGUUUCCUGGGGGAGUUAGGAGGGGGAACGGGUUUCAGGAAGAAGAUCAUGGAUGAUUUUAGCCAUGUUCCUCCUAUAUGUCUCAAGGUGGAGAGAGCAGAUAGCUAGGGGGACAUAGGGGCCUACAGUGUGAGGAAGAGGGCUGGGCCGGAAAUAUCAAAGGGAUGGAAAGUGUGGCCAGGGCCUGAGGGCCCAAUUGGGUGAGGAAGUCUUCAGGUUUUAAGACUGGGGGGGCUCUGUGGGGUUGGCUGAGACAUGAAGCAGACCAUGUGCCGAUUCUUCAGAGAGCUGCAAACCUGGCCAAGGAGGGAUUCUGGACCAUGUAUGCAAAAAAGGAGAUUUGGCUGGGCAGGUGUUGCAUGCCUAUGAUCCCAGCAACCUGACGGGAUGGGGCAAGAGGAUUCAAGUUUGAGGACAGUCUUGGCAACUUGGAGCUGGCCUGGGAUGGAGACCAAGAUGUUAGAUUGUUCAUAUUCUCCACCUGAAGACUUGGCUGACCUUUAGGAUCGCUGUAGAACAAAAGAAAGGUCAUGUAGGCUAGUGUAGCAGAUAGACUCCAGACCAGGACACUGCUUCUUUUCCUCCCUCACUUUUUAAGGCAAGAGGGGAUAAUUUGCUGUUGUAGUCAAGAGACACCAACAAGUUCUCUUCCCUGUUACGUAAGCAGGCCUGGUUGCAGAAAGGACAAGUAGCUGACUUGCCUGUUCAGCCUCUUCCUACAGCUCAUUAUUCUGACAAUGUAUGAACUACUUAUUGAUUUAAAUACUAAUUAACCAGUAUCUUUCUAAAUAUAUACAUAUGUAUGUAGGCAAUUAGAAGUGAAAUCAUUUAGCUGGGUUCCACCGUGCAUGCCUGUAAUCCCAGUGACUUGGGAGGUUGAGGCAUGAGGAUUGCAAGUUCAAAGCCAG